rnacentral:rRNA from 1 species
CCUACGGGAGGCAGCAGUAAGGAAUAUUGGUCAAUGGAGGCAACUCUGAACCAGCCAUGCCGCGUGCAGGAAGACGGCCCUAUGGGUUGUAAACUGCUUUUGAACUAGAGAAAACCUUGGUACGUGUACCGAGUUGAUAGUAUAGUUAGAAUAAGCAUCGGCUAACUUCGUGCCAGCAGCCGCGGUAAGACGAAGGAUGCAAGCGUUAUCCGGAUUCAUUGGGUUUAAAGGGUGCGUAGGCGGACUGAUAAGUCAGUGGUGAAAUCUCUCAGCUUAACUGAGAAACUGCCAUUGAUACUGUUAGUCUAGAGUACAGAUGAUGUGGGCGGAAUAUGACAUGUAGUGGUGAAAUACUUAGAUAUGUCAUAGAACACCGAUUGCGAAGGCAGCUCACAAAACUGUAACUGACGCUGAGGCACGAAAGUGCGGGGAUCAAACAGGAUUAGAUACCCUGGUAGUCCGCACCGUAAACGAUGAUUACUCGUUGUUGGCGAUAUGACAGUCAGCGACCAAGCGAAAGCGANAAGAAUCCACCUGGGGAGUACGCCGGCAACGGUGAAACGUCAAAUGAAUUGACGG